UGGCUGAUAAAAGGGGCGCAAAACUCACCGUACCGUUACCAGGAAAGCAAGAACGGCGAGUUGACCAGAGGACGCGAAAUUGCCGACCGAACUACCUGUUCUUGCGAUAGGAGCAGGGAGAUCUCCCUAUGCAGUCCGAACCCCUCGAGGCCAGGAGGCGGAAGGAAUCAGAGGUGAUCUUUCCUCUCUCUCGCGUACACAUGCUGGAGUGCUCUCUGAAGUAUUAUUGUCAGUUAAGAUCGCAGCAUCUACUGUUAUUGCACUUAUGAUGGCAAAGCUGAAGGAGUUAUUGCACAGAAGUGAAAAUCGCAUUUGUGCUGACUGCAGUGCACCUGAUCCCAGAUGGGCCCAGAUUCUGGAAUCUGCUAUUUCCAUGACCUUCUCAGGAAGAGCUGCCACGGCAAAGUCAUGCAGGCUUAACCCAUCUCUGAACAUAUCGUCUGUUGGACUCUUUCCUGUGAACAUCUCAAUCAAGAUGAUGCCAAG